UACAGAGGUCCCAAGCGUUGUUCGGAUUCAUUGGGCGUAAAGGGUGCGUAGGCGGCGCGGUAAGUCGGGUGUGAAAUUUCGGAGCUUAACUCCGAAACUGCAUUCGAUACUGGCGUGCUUGAGGACUGGAGAGGAGACUGGAAUUAUCGGUGUAGCGUGAAAUGCGUAGAGAUCAUGAGGAAGACCAGUGGCGAAGGCGGGUCUCUGGACAGUUCCUGACACUGAGGCACGAAGGCCAGGGGAGCAAACGGGG
rnacentral:rRNA from 1 species